CAACCCCCCGCCACUUCCUCAUUCACAGUAUUUUGCUUUUAUUCUCUUCACUUCUGACUGCAUCUCAGCGUCGAAAACCCGAAAGUUCGCCCUUCAAACAGCAAGAAAUUCACAUCAGAAAUCAAGGAAUGGUGUGCCUCGGACGUGGAUUAUCAGGCUGGGAGAGAGACUAAGAGAACUCAUUCUAUUCCCAUUGGACGGUGUGGGAGGGAGCAAGAGUGUCCAGCUUUGUGUGCUGGUAAAUUACUGGAAAGGAAGUGACCCCAAAGUUUCAACAAAGGAAUACUGCAGGCAUUGCAGCCUUCGAUACUUGUUACUUAAACACAUUAUUUAGUCCGUCAAAGUAUUUGGAAUUCACCCAGAUCCAGUCUAUCAAUCUUCAGAGCAACAUGGCUAGCUGUGCGGAGCUUAUGUGGUCCCUUUUCUGGCUUAUUGUGCUGUUCUUUAUAGGCUGGCCACUCAGUAUAUUCUUUGGGGGAAUCUACGGGUUUUUAUCACCUCUGACCACCUGUAUUGGACUGGAUCAGGUCACCGAUGUCCUUCUGCAAGGUGCAAAUCUGGGCCGAACCUGUGCUGAGAAUAUGAGAUCAAGCAAAGCUCUCUGCUAAAAAUCAAAUGGAUGGCUACCACCCUAUCAGCAACAAAGAAACUUUACUACAACUGUGAGCUUUCCACUUCAUCACAACUGUGAGCUUUCCACUUCAUCACUUAGAUUCCUGCCGAUCACUCAAUUUUAAAACAAAUAAUCACAGAACUUUUCAUUUCCUUUCUAACCUUAACCAAUGGCUACAGAUUUGUUUUAGCCCUUUUACAGCAGCUCUGGUGGAAUUAUACCUUUAGAAUGAAAACAGUUAUAUUUUAAAUUACUUGCAAUUAAAAUGCUGCAAUAAAUGAC